rnacentral:rRNA from 1 species
UUUGCACAAUGGGCGAAAGCCUGNUGCAGCAACGCCGCGUGAGCGAUGAAGGCCUUCGGGUCGUAAAGCUCUGUCCUCAAGGAAGAUAAUGACGGUACUUGAGGAGGAAGCCCCGGCUAACUACGUGCCAGCAGCCGCGGUAAUACGUAGGGGGCUAGCGUUAUCCGGAAUUACUNGGGCGUAAAGGGUGCGUAGGUGGUUUUUUAAGUCAGAAGUGAAAGGCUACGGCUCAACCGUAGUAAGCUUUUGAAACUGAGAAACUUGAGUGCAGGAGAGGAGAGUAGAAUUCCUAGUGUAGCGGUGAAAUGCGUAGAUAUUAGGAGGAAUACCAGUUGCGAAGGCGGCUCUCUGGACUGUAACUGACACUGAGGCACGAAAGCGUGGGGAGCAAACAGGAUUAGAUACCCUGGUAGUCCACGCCGUAAACGAUGAGUACUAGCUGUCGGAGGUUACCCCCUUCGGUGGCGCAGCUAACGCAUUAAGUACUCCGCCUGGGAAGUACGCUCGCAAGAGUGAAACUCAAAAGAAUUGACGGA